rnacentral:lncRNA from 1 species
UACGUUGUUUACUAGAAAAUACGAUCGUCACGAAAUUAUAAAGUACCAAAUAAUUACAAGUUGUAAUUAUCUAUAUUUUGUUUCAGUUAACAUUUAAACUGUUUUCUAUCUAUAGAAUUUAAUGAAUAACUCUUUUAUUUUGCAUGCUACCUCCAAUAUGGCGUCACAGUCAACAAGUGUUUUCAUAGACAGAUUGAAUAUGCAUCAGGUUUCGGAAAUCCUAGAAGAAGGCGAUGAUAGAAACUCCACUACUUGACAUUGCACUCCUUAUUCCCGAAGUAGAAAAGGGUAAUCGAACAGAUGAUGAUUCUAAUGAUUCCGCUGAUCCAGUGAGUUGUUUAGGAAGAAGUGAACUGCCGAGAAACUCAGUGUGAUUUUGUGCCAAAAGGAACGAACGAUGUGAAUGAAGAAGAAACUUUCUGAUGGUGUUCAGCUGUUGCAGUUUUGAAGAUCUAUACGGAUUUUGCAUCCUAUGGAGGAAGAUUUCAGUCUGCAGUACAACUUUUCAGUUUAUGACGAUGGCUUGACUCACAGGCUACACUCAGAAAUCAAAGAUGUAGUAUUGCACUUGUAAAGCCACAUUUUCACCUUCAAAGUGUGAUGUUGAUUCCAUCCCAAAUGUCAAAAAGUAUACUAGACUUGUUAUGCACUAAAACAGAUGUUUAUCAAUAAAUGUUUUUUUUUUGUACUGAAUAUGUGUCUUAAAUAAAAUUUGUUUUAUUCGAAA